UACGUAGGUGGCAAGCGUUGUCCGGAUUUAUUGGGUUUAAAGGGUGCGUAGGCGGCCCUGUAAGUCAGUGGUGAAAUGCUCUAGCUUAACUAGAGAGGUGCCAAUGAUACUGCAGGGCUUGAGUACAGAUGAGGUAGGCGGAAUUGACGGUGUAGCGGUGAAAUGCAUAGAUAUCGUCAAGAACACCGAUAGCGAAGGCAGCUUACUGGGCUGUAACUGACGCUGAUGCACGAAAGUGUGGGGAUCAAACAGG
rnacentral:rRNA from 1 species